rnacentral:rRNA from 1 species
UACGAAGGGGGCUAGCGUUGCUCGGAAUCACUGGGCGUAAAGGGUGCGUAGGCGGGUCUUUAAGUCAGAGGUGAAAUCCUGGAGCUCAACUCCAGAACUGCCUUUGAUACUGAAGAUCUUGAGUUCGGGAGAGGUGAGUGGAACUGCGAGUGUAGAGGUGAAAUUCGUAGAUAUUCGCAAGAACACCAGUGGCGAAGGCGGCUCACUGGCCCGGUACUGACGCUGAGGUGCGAAAGCGUGGGGAGCGAACAGG